rnacentral:lncRNA from 1 species
UAGAAGUUUUUGGAAAUUAUGAACUUGCACAGUACACAGAAACCAUCUUCGUUACAUCUAUUACUUAAACAGUCGUUGUAAUGUUGAUUUUACCGCAUACUCUUUAAAAUUGAGAAUGGAAAUUAGGAAUAUGUCAAAUAAACAACAACCCGACCAAAGAGCAGAUAACAGCCGAAGGCCACUAAUGUGUCUUCAAUGCAGCGAGA